rnacentral:rRNA from 1 species
CCUACGGGAGGCAGCAGUAGGGAAUAUUGGUCAAUGGGUGAGAGCCUGAACCAGCCAUGCCGCGUGCAGGAAGACGGCCUUCUGGGUUGUAAACUGCUUUUAUCUGGGGAUAAAAAGCCCAUGCGUGGGACAUUGAAGGUACCAGAUGAAUAAGCACCGGCUAACUACGUGCCAGCAGCCGCGGUAAUACGUAGGGUGCAAGCGUUGUCCGGAUUUAUUGGGUUUAAAGGGUGCGUAGGCGGUCUAUUAAGUCAGUGGUGAAAUCCAACAGCUCAACUGUUGAUGUGCCAAUGAUACUGAUGGACUUGAGUACAGACGAGGUAGGCGGAAUUGACAGUGUAGCGGUGAAAUGCAUAGAUAUUGUCAAGAACACCGAUAGCGAAGGCAGCUUGCUAGCCUGUAACUGACGCUGAGGCACGAAGGUAUGGGGAUCAAACAGGAUUAGAUACCCUGGUAGUCCAUACAGUAAACGAUGAUUACUCGAUGUUGGCGAUACACAGUCAGCGUCUUAGCGAAAGCGAUAAGUAAUCCACCUGGGGAGUACGCUGGCAACAGUGAAACUCAAAGGAAUUGACGGGG